UGUGUUAGUGGAAGCGUCUGGAAAGGCGCGCGAUACAGGGUGACAGCCCCGUACACAAAAAUGCACAUGCUGUGAGCUCGAUGAGUAGGGCGGGACACGUGGUAUCCUGUCUGAAUAUGGGGGGACCAUCCUCCAAGGCUAAAUACUCCUGACUGACCGAUAGUGAACCAGUACCGUGAGGGAAAGGCGAAAAGAACCCCGGCGAGGGGAGUGAAAAAGAACCUGAAACCGUGUACGUACAAGCAGUGGGAGCACGCUUAGGCGUGUGACUGCGUACCUUUUGUAUAAUGGGUCAGCGACUUAUAUUCUGUAGCAAGGUUAACCGAAUAGGGGAGCCGAAGGGAAACCGAGUCUUAACUGGGCGUUAAGUUGCAGGGUAUAGACCCGAAACCCGGUGAUCUAGCCAUGGGCAGGUUGAAGGUUGGGUAACACUAACUGGAGGACCGAACCGACUAAUGUUGAAAAAUUAGCGGAUGACUUGUGGCUGGGGGUGAAAGGCCAAUCAAACCGGGAGAUAGCUGGUUCUCCCCGAAAGCUAUUUAGGUAGCGCCUCGUGAAUUCAUCUCCGGGGGUAGAGCACUGUUUCGGCAAGGGGGUCAUCCCGACUUACCAACCCGAUGCAAACUGCGAAUACCGGAGAAUGUUAUCACGGGAGACACACGGCGGGUGCUAACGUCCGUCGUGAAGAGGGAAACAACCCAGACCGCCAGCUAAGGUCCCAAAGUCAUGGUUAAGUGGGAAACGAUGUGGGAAGGCCCAGACAGCCAGGAUGUUGGCUUAGAAGCAGCCAUCAUUUAAAGAAAGCGUAAUAGCUCACUGGUCGAGUCGGCCUGCGCGGAAGAUGUAACGGGGCUAAACCAUGCACCGAAGCUGCGGCAGCGACGCUGAUGCGUUGUUGGGUAGGGGAGCGUUCUGUAAGCCUGCGAAGGUGUGCUGUGAGGCAUGCUGGAGGUAUCAGAAGUGCGAAUGCUGACAUAAGUAACGAUAAAGCGGGUGAAAAGCCCGCUCGCCGGAAGACCAAGGGUUCCUGUCCAACGUUAAUCGGGGCAGGGUGAGUCGACCCCUAAGGCGAGGCCGAAAGGCGUAGUCGAUGGGAAACAGGUUAAUAUUCCUGUACUUGGUGUUACUGCGAAGGGGGGACGGAGAAGGCUAUGUUGGCCGGGCGACGGUUGUCCCGGUUUAAGCGUGUAGGCUGGUUUUCCAGGCAAAUCCGGAAAAUCAAGGCUGAGGCGUGAUGACGAGGCACUACGGUGCUGAAGCAACAAAUGCCCUGCUUCCAGGAAAAGCCUCUAAGCAUCAGGUAACAUCAAAUCGUACCCCAAACCGACACAGGUGGUCAGGUAGAGAAUACCAAGGCGCUUGAGAGAACUCGGGUGAAGGAACUAGGCAAAAUGGUGCCGUAACUUCGGGAGAA
rnacentral:rRNA from 1 species